UACAGAGACUGCAAGCGUUACUCGGAUUCACUGGGCGUAAAGGGAGCGCAGGCGGGAUAGUGUGUCAGGCGUGAAAUCUCGGGGCUCAACCCCGAGGCUGCGCCCGAAACUACUAUUCUAGAAACUUGGAGAGGUAAGCGGAAUUCUUGGUGGAGCAGUGAAAUGCGUAGAUAUCAAGAGGAACACCAACGGCGAAGGCAGCUUACUGGACAAGAUUUGACGCUCAGGCUCGAAAGCGUGGGGAGCAAAAAGG
rnacentral:rRNA from 1 species